GGCCCCUUUGACCGAAACAGGACGCUCGCCUCGAUUCAGAUCGGCCCGCCGAUGGCGUCGACGGCGGCUUUCGAGAAGGAUUGCCGGAUGCCGGAGGAGGCAGAGGCCGAUGCGCUGCUGGUACAGAAGGUGGGCGUGCUGCCCUCCGGGUUCCACGAUGCCUUCGUGCUCCGCUACAUCCGCGUCCACGCGUCUGGCCCAGCCGCCUCCUCUGCCACUUCACCGUCACCACCCGCCUCCUCAACUCGAGCAACUUCCUGCAAGGGGCGCGACUGCAUUGCUGGUUUACUUGAUGGGCUCUGUUGUACACCGCUGCGUCACAAACCAGGGUCUCACCACUAGAGAUGAACAUCUACCUAGAUACUGCAUUUUCUGAUGUGGGUGACUAUCUUACUCAGUCGGAAUUGGAUGCGAAAUAAUACAUGUGGUGGUUCAUCAGCAUCACUUCUCAAGGUAUGCUUGUUGGUGAUGUUGCUUGUUUAUGUUAUUUUUGGUUUUGUACGACAUUCUUCCGGAGGAGGUUCAUAUUUAAAAUCAUUUCUGCUCAAUUAUAUCAGGUUGGUCUGUCAUGCCUAAAGCGGAUAUAGUGACUAGUUUGUUAUGUGCUUUGCAGGUUAGUCAUAUGGUUUGUAUAAUGGACCUAUAGCUCGUUCUUGUCUUUUUCAGGUUCAGAAAUCAGCGCAUUAUUAGUUGCUUCACUAUAUGCUUUGAUAUCCAGGUUACAACUAGGAUUUUCAUAUAACGGAUGGUUCACCAUAAUAGGAGCAUCACAAGACAUUGUAGUCAUUGGUGAAGAAUGAUAUGCAGUGAAACACAAGGAUUUAUGAUGGUGUCCCAUGACUGAAGAUUAUGAAAAAUAAAUCACUCUUCUAGUUGAUGUAUUUCUGGUUAGAUAUGGACUAAAAUAGUUGUCUACAAGGUGUUUUUGGUUUAUAUUCUCCGCUGUAUGUGAGGAUCGUCUUCAAUAUGUAUGAUUUGGAUUAAUGAAAACAGGUUAUAUACUUUGACUGUCCAAAUUUUUUUGU